ensembl:snRNA U6 U6 spliceosomal RNA
AUGGUUGGGUGGCAGCAAAUAUGCUAAGAAGAGAAUGAUAUAGAGAAGAUUAGCAUGGUCCCUUGGCAAGGCCCUUGCCAUGAAGGAAAACAAAUUAACACAUUUUA